rnacentral:rRNA from 1 species
CCAGGAAUCUUGGGCAAUGGGCGCAAGCCUGACCCAGCAACACCGUGUGGGCGAUGAAGGCCUUCGGGUCGUAAAGCCCUGUCUGAUAGGGACGAAGGGCGAAGGGUUAAUAGCCCCUAGCCUGACGGUACCUUUCGAGGAAGCCCCGGCUAACUACGUGCCAGCAGCCGCGGUAAUACGUAGGGGGCGAGCGUUGUCCGGAAUUAUUGGGCGUAAAGAGCGUGUAGGCGGUUCGGUAAGUCUGCCGUGAAAACCUGAGGCUCAACCUCGGGCGUGCGGUGGAUACUGCCGGGCUAGAGGACGGUAGAGGCGAGUGGAAUUCCCGGUGUAGCGGUGAAAUGCGCAGAUAUCGGGAGGAACACCAGUAGCGAAGGCGGCUCKCUGGGCCGUUCCUGACGCUGAGACGCGAAAGCUAGGGGAGCGAACAGGAUUAGAUACCCUGGUAGUCCUAGCCGUAAACGAUGGACACUAGGUGUGGGGGGAGUCGAAUCCCUCUGUGCCGCAGCUUAACGCGUUAAGUGUCCCGCCUGGGGAGUACGGCCGCAAGGCUA